GCCGUAGCUCAGUGGCAGAGCAUCUGCCUUAUAUGCAGGAGGUCCCAAGUUCAACCCCUGGCAUCUGCA